UACGUAGGGUGCAAGCGUUGUCCGGAAUUAUUGGGCGUAAAGAGCUCGUAGGCGGUCUGUCGCGUCGGCUGUGAAAACCCGCAGCUCAACUGUGGGCUUGCAGCUGAUACGGGCAGGCUUGAGUUCGGUAGGGGAGACUGGAAUUCCUGGUGUAGCGGUGAAAUGCGCAGAUAUCAGGAGGAACACCGAUGGCGAAGGCAGGUCUCUGGGCAUUAACUGACGCUGAGGAGCGAAAGCAUGGGGAGCGAACAGG
rnacentral:rRNA from 1 species